rnacentral:rRNA from 1 species
UACGUAGGGUGCGAGCGUUACUCGGAAUUACUGGGCGUAAAGCGUGCGCAGGCGGUUCGUUGUGUCGGCGGUGAAAGCCCCGGGCUUAACCUGGGAAUGGCCGUUGAAACUGGCGAACUGGAGUGUGGCAGAGGGGGGUGGAAUUCCGCGUGUAGCAGUGAAAUGCGUAGAGAUGCGGAGGAACACCGAUGGCGAAGGCAGCCCCCUGGGCUGACACUGACGCUCAGGCACGAAAGCGUGGGGAGCAAACAGG